rnacentral:rRNA from 1 species
CAGUCGCCGCGGGAAUACGGAGGAUCCAAGCGUUAUCCGGAAUCAUUGGGUUUAAAGGGUCCGUAGGCGGUCUUGUAAGUCAGUGGUGAAAGCCCAUCGCUCAACGGUGGAACGGCCAUUGAUACUGCAGGACUUGAAUUAUUGGGAAGUAACUAGAAUAUGUAGUGUAGCGGUGAAAUGCUUAGAGAUUACAUGGAAUACCAAUUGCGAAGGCAGGUUACUACCAAUUGAUUGACGCUGAUGGACGAAAGCGUGGGUAGCGAACAGGAUUAAAUACCCCUGUAGUCCCUGUCUCUUAUAC